rnacentral:rRNA from 1 species
UAAGGAAUAUUGGUCAAUGGACGCAAGUCUGAACCAGCCAUGCCGCGUGAAGGAUGAAGGUCCUCUGGAUUGUAAACUUCUUUUAUCUGGGACGAAAAAAGCUCAUUCUUGAGCACUUGACGGUACCAGAAGAAUAAGCACCGGCUAACUCCGUGCCAGCAGCCGCGGUAAUGCGGAGGGUGCAAGCGUUAUCCGGAUUUACUGGGUUUAAAGGGUGCGUAGGUGGAUUUGUAAGUCAGUGGUGAAAUCUCCGAGCUUAACUCGGAAACUGCCAUUGAUACUAUCAGUCUUGAAUUAUCUGGAGGUAAGCGGAAUAUGUCCUGUAGCGGUGAAAUACUUAGAUAUGACAUAGAACACGAGUUGCGAAUGCAGCUUACUACGGAUUGAUUGACACUGAGGCACGAAAGCGUAGGGAUCAAACA